GGUCUAAUGUCAAAAUUUUGUAUGGAGCGGAGGAAAUACCGAUUUCAUAUAAACAAACUCACCUCUCAAUGAAAAUCAUUGAAAGGUGAGUUUUUUAUAUGAAAUCGCUAUUUCCUCAGUGUUGUAUGGAUAGACCAUACCUGAUUUGUACAUUCAUUGAUAAAACGUAGACGAUGGUUUU